rnacentral:rRNA from 1 species
CCCUUAGAUGUUCUGGGCUGCACGCGCGCUACACUGAAGCGUUCAACGAGUAUUUCACCUUGCCCGGGAGGGUUGGGUAAUCUUUUUAAAACGCUUCGUGAUGGGGAUAGAUUAUUGCAAUUAUGGGUCUUCAACGAGGAAUUCCUAGUAAACGCAAGUCAUCAGCUUGCAUUGAUUACGUCCCUGCCCUUUGUACACACCGCCCGUCGCACCUACCGAUUGAAUGGUCCGGUGAAAUCUCGGGACGGCGGCUUGGUCGCUUGCGUCCGACUGCUGAAACUUGAUUAAACCAUAUCAUUUAGAGGAAGGUGAAGUCGUAACA